CCUACGGGUGACAGCAGUGAGGAAUAUUGGACAAUGGGGGAAACCCUGAUCCAGCCAAGCCGCGUGAGGGAUGAAGGACUUCGGUAUUGAAAACUCUAUCAGCAGGGAAGAAAAUGACGGUACCUGACUAAGAAGCCCCGGCUAACUACGUGCCAGCAGCCGCGGUAAUACGUCGGGGGCAAGCGUUAUCCGGAUUUAAUGGGUGUAAAGGGAGAGUAGACGGGCAAUCAAGUCAGAAGGGAAAAUCCAGGGCUCAACCUUGGAACUGCUGUUGAAACUGCGUGGCUUGAGUGCAGGAGAGGAAGGCGGAAUUCAUGGUGUAGCGGUGAAAUGCGUAGAUAUCAUGAAGAACACCAAUGGCGAAGGCAGCGUACCGGAGUGUAACUGACGUUGAGGCUCGAAAGCGUGGGGAGCAAACAGGAUUAGAUACCCUGGUAGUC
rnacentral:rRNA from 1 species